UAAAAAAGCAUCCUGGGAAGGUUUCAAGAGUUCUUUUUACCUGAUAAUCAGAGACACCAGUGAUGCUGGAUGCUGUAGGUGAGCUCCGAAAGAACUGGUCCUCAAAGAUGGCUUUGACAUUGCUAUCCUGGAAGAGUGUGUGGAUAGUGAUGUCUGUCACCAAGAGGGGGAACACAGUCAAAAGAGACUGCUUCUUACUAUUCAGGCAGAAAAUACCAGAUAUACACUUUUCCAACUUCCCCUGUAGCUCAACCAUGAGAAGAGACUCAGCUCUGGACAAUAAAACCUGAAGAAAAUCUACUGAUGGGCAAAUGUGUAACAUUUCCCUUCCUGAUAGAAAAUGAAAAGGAGUCACGAGAGCAGAAGCCCUCCUUUUCCCUUCCUGGUUUUGAUGUUGAUGCAUAAGAAUGUGAAGUCUGUAUCUGUAAUCCUAACCACGAGAAGACUGAGAGAAUCACAGUGAAGCCAGCUCUGAGCCCCGAUGCUGGGAAUUCCCCUGGACUUGCUUAUGUUCUUAUUUCCCAUUAUUUGUGAAAAAUAAACUCUUUCUGCUUAA